UGCUUGAUGUGCCCAAAUCAAGUGCUGGUGAUUGCCUUUGGCGAGGCAUCAAGGGGUUUAAGAGUUUGAAAAAUUCAGGAAUCAGUAUCCAAGUCAAGAACAACCUCCUGGACAGUAACUAGUCUGGUUUUAAAAGCAGCCACUGAACUGAGACUGCCCUGCUCUUGGUUAUUAAAGCUCUGUGACUUGCAAGAGCAGCUUCAAAGUCAUCUGUACUCCUUUUGCUGGAGUCUUUGUCUGUGGCUUUUGGCACAGUUAUCCACCUGAUUGUCCUGUCAACCCUCUUGACAAAGCGUGUCUCAGGAACCACACUCCAGUGGUUCAAGUUUUAACUCUCAGCUGGAUGUGUUGACGGUCACUGCUCACAUCUCUGCCUCCUGGAUAGAAAUGUCUUGCUGGAUGUUGAAUGACCAUCAGCUCAACCUUGCCAAGACAGGACUGCUCAUGUUUUGCACUUCCAGAUCAUUGCAGUGGCCCGAUCCUGCAGAUUUGCCCUGUAUAACAUUAGCAAGAUCAGACCCUUCCUUACGGGGCUGCUACAGAACUCCUUGUCCAAGCUCUGAUUCUCUCCAGACUGGACUAUUGUACUGCUCUCUUGGCAGACCUUCCAGGCUGUACUAACAAGCUUCUGCAACUAAUCCA